rnacentral:lncRNA from 1 species
UUAAAAAGCCCUAAACUUGCUUCUAUAAGCUUGUGGAGGCAGCAGGACUCGCACAGCAACUUCUCUAACUCUAGGUUCGACUCUGCUUUCCGCGCGCAGUCGGAGCGCCUCGCCCUCGGCCCUCGCGUCGCGCUGCAGGGUCGGCGCCCAGGGGCGAGCGCGGUUCUCCCGGGCGGCGAGCAGCCUUCGCCAUCUGGUGGCCACCGCGAGUACCUGCCCACCCGGCAGGGCUUCCCGAAGUCGCUGUUCUGGCAGGUCCUGGAGAAUAAUAAACAAUUAUUUUCUUUAUCCCACUCCCAUUCUUUCCCUUUAAAACUCCUUGCUGUGGGAGGGGGGGGGGUGGGGGGGUGGGGGUGGGGAGGAGCCUACAACGUGGAAUUUCUAAGACUCUAAGUUCUAGUUCUGGACUGUGGCUUCCUGGCAGCAAUUGCCCUGGGCUUCCCUGAGUUGCAUCCAUUUCUGCAAAGUGGGGAUUUGAACAACAUGGAUCUCUCUCAGUAGGACCCAGGAGGAGGAAAUGGGAUGCUUACAGAUGCAAUCUGCUCCCAGCAAAGUUCCAGUGGAGAGCUGUGGGACAGUCGUCCAUGGCCUAGCUUGCUGAGCGUGCUCUCAGGCAGCUGGUAUUCCCUGACGAGCCCCAACAGGAUAAGGCAAGUGCCCAUGUCUGUGUCAUUGUCAGUCUGGCCAGCCCUGAUUCCUAUUAUAAGCUGCUUGGGUUUGGUGGGGGGUGGGGGAGAGGAGAGGGAUGAUCCGGCUAUAUGAGCUGCCUUGCUGAAGGUGCUGGAGGCCUAGAGCUUCUAUUUCCCAUAGCCUUUUCUAAAUGACUUGUAACAGAACCUGAUCACAAGGUCUCCAAGCACAUUCGGGGUGAAUGCAAGGGCAUCAUUCUCUUCUCCAGAACUGGAAGUAGAAACAGUUUAAAGCAAACAAAAUUAAGAGCAAAACCAAAACCACAAUUUUGGGGAUUUAAUGUCUAUAUAUCUAAGUAGAAAGAAUGGGUCUCUCUUGUUUGGCUCUAUUCCCAAGCAAGGGUGCUACUUGUAGCCUAUUUCGGGUGGCGGACCUGAGGCUCACCUCUGUCAUUUGAAUGUACAUGACAUUCUUUUGGUUCUGUUUGUUCCAAGCACCCUGCUUCUCAGAGCUCAGUUUUUUAUGUCUGAUGGCCUGCUCCAUGCCCUCAUCUGUUUUAAUACAAAAGCUGUUGGUGAAAAUGACAGGCUACUCAGAACAAGUUCCAUGCAAAGGAGGAUCAGGGAACCAAGGUGGAUACGUCCUGGGAGCUGGGAAUUUAGGCUGCUCUGUGAAAGUAACGUAAGGAUAUUGUGUAAGCGUUGGGUACUGGAGGUCCUUAGGAACCAAGACUUUUAUAAUUUUAUGGUGUGUCCUCCCUAAGGUUUUCCACCAAGCAAAGAGAAAAGCUGUUUCUCUGGGUACCAUUUAUUUCACAAAGUAAAUAAUCACAGUAAAUGCUAUGGAGAGGGUAAAAGUAUGGAGUAAGAGGAUCCUGAGCUCUAGGACUGUUUCCAUCUUAGAACAGCUACUUACUCUCUCUAAGCCUCAGUCUCUCCAUCUGUAAAAUCAGAAUUUUGAAGUGAUCUAAUUAAUAGUUGGGGAAAAGGCUGAGUAAAGGGACAUUUGGAAAGUGCUUAGUGAGGUGCUUGGAAUGGUAUGCAUGCUCAGGAGAGGACCGCUAUCCCAUUACUGAGUGAAAUUCUACAAAGGGGAGUCCCUUUGUUAAUCUCUGAUCGAAGUAGCUACUGAAACACUCCCCUCUCCGUGACUUCUACACUGUGAAUGUUCCCACUUGUUAACUGUUUUCUUUAAAACGUCUUUAUUUUAGGGGCACCUGGGUGGCUCAGCUGGUUGAGCAUCUGGCUCUUGAUUUCGGCUCAGGUCAUGAUCUUGUGUUCAUGGGAUAGAGCCCCGCAUUGGGCUCCCACACUAACUGUGUGGAGUCUGUUUGGGGUUCAUUCUCUCUUCACCCUACCUUUCCUCCCACUUGUACUCUCUCUCUUAAAAAGAAAAAAAUAUAUAAAUAUGUAAUAUAUAAAUAUAAAAAUAUAUAUGUAUACUUUUAAAAUAUUUUAUUUUCUUUUUUUCACAUUUUUAUUAAAUUCUAAUUAGAUGACAUAUAGCAUAAUAGUGGUUUCAGGAGUCAUUGUCAGUGAAUUCAGUGAUUCAUCACUUACAUAUUAUACCCAGUGCUCAACACAGUGCCCUCCUUAAUACCUGCCCCCCCAUCUAGCCCAUCCCCCACCCUAAACCAUUUUAAAAACUCAUUUUCCUCUUUGAUAGAGGUUGCCUUAUGUGGCUUUCAUGCCACUCACACAGAGAAGCUGGAAGUAGGGGAAGGAAAAUAAGCCUAACUCUGCAGAGGCCUUUUCUAUGCUAUGUGGCAGGAGCGAUGAUGAAACCAAGGUCAGAGAGUUGGAAAGGCCUGAGGGGCAGAGCCAAGGCCUGAGUCAUAUUUUGUGUUGCUAUUAAAAUUCUCACCCGCCCAGAUCCUGUUCCUUACAAGUCCUGUGUAAUUUAUUUCAGGGCCUGUGCCUGGUGAAUCUGUGUGUUUGCUCUAACAUGUACUUAUGAUGCAGCAAAACUUCAUUUCACUGUUUUUCUUCUGGAGCUGGUUUACAGUCCCAGCACUCAUUUGGGCUGGGUAUUACUCACUGGGACUCUCCUUUCUCCUCAGCUUGUUCUCUCCCUCCUCACUUCUCUGAGUUUCAGUUGGGACUGAGGGCCGGGAUGGAGAAACCAAACAGUCUGUCAGUGUAGUCAAGCCAUUACAGUUCUGAGGAGCUCAGCUGCUAGGAUUGUCCUCUCCCAAAUAGGAGCUCCAAGGCAACACACGAGAUGGAGCUCCUUCUGCGUUGGUUACUUGAGGCUCUGUGCAUGUGUGGGGUAUAUGUAUAUGGUACAUGUUCGGUUGGGGGGGAUGUGUGUAUGUUGGCGAGCAGUUGAGACAAAACCACAGAGCUGGAUCACGCAGGCUGCAGCCUUUUAUAUGUAUCACCAAUGAACAUUUAUUUAGCCCCUAACCUACACAAGUCACUGAGAUAGGGAGGUGCCAGUACAUGUGGUUCCUGACCUUGAGAUCCAUUUUAAUCAACAUGGAGGGAGAGGAUAUGUGAAUAUAUGGGAAACAAACAGGGGUAAUAAUGAAUGAUAGCCAAUACUUCAGGAACUCAGAUGAAGAAAGAUGAUGACACCCACUAAGGUCCAGUGGGAUUCUAGAUGACUUCGAAUGAGGAUAAAACAAUAUUGUAGCCAGACUUUGAAGAAAAAUUAGGACUCAGGUAAGCAGAGUGGAAGGGUAAUGUCUACAUAGGCUUGCUUUUUUUUUUUUUUUUAAGAUUUUAUUUAUUCAUGAGAGACACAGAGAGAGAGAGGCAAGGCAAAGACAUAGGCAGAGGGAGAAGCAGACUCCCUGUGGGGAGCCUGAUGUGGGACUUAAUCCCAGGACCUCAGCAUCAUGCCCUGAGCCAAAGGCAGGCUCUCAACGACUGAGCCACACAGGCAUCCUUUUAUUUUUUUUAAGAUUUUAUUUAUUUAUUCAUUAGAGACACAGAGAGAGAGGCAAAGACAUAGGCAAAGGGGAGAAGCAGGCUCCCUGUGGGGAGCCUGAUGUAGGACUUGAUCCCAGGAACCUGGGAUCAUGACUUGAGCCAACGGCAGGCUCUCAACCACUGAGCCACCCAGGCGUCCCUGCACAGACUUGCUUAACAAUACACUGAAUAUACUGUAUGGCUGGUGUUGUUAGUCUGAAUUCUUCUGGUUGUCAGUGACCAAAACCCCACUCAAAUUACGGACAAAACCAAAAUGAGCCAUAUAAUUGAGAAUCUCAAGGCAUUGCACUGGCUUCAGUUCUUAGAGAUGCCAUCACAACACUGUCAUUCUCCCUUUGGCCCUGCUCUUCAAAGCGUUGGCUUUAUUUUUAGGUAGACACUCUUAGUAGACAGGGCUACUUGGGCUCCAGAAUUUAAUUCUAUGAACACAAUGUAUGCAUCUUUCCCUCAGCAGUGCUAGUAAAGCUUCCUGGAUUCUCAUUAGCCUGGCUUGGGUCAAGCAUCUAUCUAUGAGUCAGUUACCAUGACCGGCAGCAUGGAAUUCUCUGAUGGCCAGAUCUGAGUCAUGAGCUCACUCCUAGAGCCAGGUGAUGGGGACAGGCCAA